AGUAAAACAGUACGUGAAAUUGUUGAAAGGGAAACGAUUGAAGUCAGUCAUGCCGGCGUUGGAUUCAGCUUGCUUCGCGGAGCUUGCGCAUUUCCUCGCAUGGCAGGUCAGCGUCAGUUUUGCGCGGCGUGAAAAGGCUCGGGUAAGGUAGCUCUCUUCGGGGAGUGUUAUAGACCUGGGCAAAUGCGCAGCGCGGGACUGAGGAUUGCAGCGGACACCUCUUCGGAGGCGCGGCGACCGAACCCUGCUCGGCCACCCUCGUUCGAUAGCUUGCUAACGGACGCGGGAGCGGCAGUGCACCGGAACAGGCAAGCCAGCGGUUCGCUUAGGAUGCUGACGUAAUGGCUUUAAA
rnacentral:misc_RNA from 1 species